AUGUUCUCAAUUGGUUAGGCAUAAGAAAUUAUAAAAAGCCAAGUGGGAGGUGACAUCAGCAUUCCAUCAAAGAAAUUGAUGAAAGCAAACGGGAGGGAAUUCUGCGAGAUUAAAAUAGAAGUUUGAGGGGUUCUAAAUGACAAAUUCAAGUACGUUAAUGUUUAAUAGUAUAAAUUCAGCAAUAGUAAGUGAAAUUUAAACCCAAGUAGCCAUGUAUGCAACUCUAUGAGCAAAAGUUUGCAGUUCUUUUCUGCCAAAGUCAAGAAUUACAUCAUAAUCAAUUUACAAUUGAACAAAGGCAAAGUACAGUUACUUGAGGCAAAGUAACUAAACAACCAACUAUAAAUAACUGGAAUAAUAAAACCAAUAGGAGUGAGAAUAGUAUCUAAGACUCCAUGGUUCUCCAAGCCUCAAUUCUUUGAGCACUAGACUAAGGCCUCACUGGCCACUAUUAGCACAAGUUGGUGGCACGAAGACUAACA
rnacentral:misc_RNA from 1 species